rnacentral:lncRNA from 1 species
GGGUGCAGUAGCAUUGAGAGAGUGUGCACGCAGGCCAAAAUCUCUUGGGCCAAAGGCCCAAGUCUCACCAACACCAUUAGGUUUCACAACAAAACUUCAGAGCGUACCUUCAAACUUUCCCCAGAAUGAGCGAUUGUGAGACCUCACAGACCAACGGAAGCCGCUCGCGUUAACCUCGUAUCAUUGAUGCCGGUACAUCAUCGAUGAGGGAGAAGAAUCACCUUCAAUCGGUAACGCAUGGUCGACGUAGAGCAAGAAUCAGCCUCAAUCAAGGAUCCACCGUCGGCGAAAAGCGAGAGUCAACCUUCAAUCGAAAAUGCGUUGUUGAUGAAAAUUGAUCGUUGACGAUGAUUGGGGUGGAGCGAUGCGUCGCCACUUGAAGUGGAACGCAGAACGACGAUGCUCGAGUCGAAAGAUGAAGAACGGAAGCGAACCAAAUCCGAAAAGGUAUCGUCG